AACGAACGCUGGCGGCAUGCCUAACACAUGCAAGUCGAACGAAGGCUUCGGCCUUAGUGGCGCACGGGUGAGUAACGCGUGGGAAACUGCCUACUGGUGGGGAAUAACGACGGGAAACUGUCGCUAAUACCGCAUAAGCCCUUCGGGGGAAAGAUCUAUCGCCGAUAGAUCUGCCCGCGUCCGAUUAGCUAGUGGGUGAGGUAAUGGCUCACCAAGGCGACGAUGGGUAGCUGGUCUGAGAGGAUGAUCAGCCACACUGGGACUGAGACACGGCCCAGACUCCUACGGGAGGCAGCAGUGGGGAAUAUUGGACAAUGGGCGAAAGCCUGAUCCAGCAAUGCCGCGUGAGUGAUGAAGGCCUUAGGGUUGUAAAGCUCUUUCGGGUGGGACGAUGAUGACGGUACCACCAGAAGAAGCCCCGGCUAACUUCGUGCCAGCAGCCGCCGUAA
rnacentral:rRNA from 1 species